UGCCAGCCGCCGCGGUAAUACGGGAGGUGCAAGCGUUGUUCGGAAUGACUGGGCGUAAAGCGCACGUAGGCGGGUUUAUAAGUCAGUUGUGAAAGCCCAAGGCUCAACCUUGGAACUGCAAUUGAAACUGUAAGUCUUGAAUGCUUGAGAGGAUGGCGGAAUUCCGGGUGUAGAAGUGAAAUUCGUAGAUAUCCGGAGGAACAUCAGAGGCGAAGGCGGCCAUCUGGCGAUGCAUUGACGCUGAGGUGCGAAAGCUAGGGUAGCGAACGGGAUUAGAUA
rnacentral:rRNA from 1 species